rnacentral:rRNA from 1 species
AGCUAGGUGUUGGCGAAUAUUGCACGUCGUCGGUGCCGACAGCCUGAUGCAUUAAGUUCGACGCCGCGUGAGGGAGUGACGGCCUUCGGGUUGCUAAACCUCUUUCAGCAGGGAAUUGAAGCGAAAGUGACGGUACCUGCAGAAGCAGCGGAGCAUGUGGCUUAACUUCGAUGCCACGCGAAGAACCUUACCAAGGCUUGACAUACGUACGGGCAAGCAUCAGCGUUGGUGCCGGCCUUAUUGGUCGGUAUACAGAGCUGGUAGGCAUGGCUGUCGUCACGCUCGUGAUCGUGAGAUGCCUUGGGCUUAAGUCCCGCAACGGGUCUGCAACCCUUCGAUUCUGUGCUUGCUAGCAGUGCCCUGGUCGGGGUGAUGGGGAUUCACUGGUGUACUGCGGUGAAAUGCGUCAGAUCUCAGGAGGAACACCGGUGGGGACGACGUCAGGAUCAUCAUGGGCCCUUACUGACUCUUGGGCUGCACACGUGCUACAAUGGCCGGUACAAUGAGCUGCGAUGCCGCGAGGCGGAGCGAAUCUCAAAAAGCCGGUCUCAGUUCGGAUUGGGGUCUGCAACUCGACCCCAUGAAGUCGGAGUUGCUAGUAAUCGCAGAUCAGCAUUGCUGCGGUGAAUACGUUCCCGGGCCUUGUACACACCGCCCGUCACGUCACGAAAGUCGGUAACACCCGAAGCCGGUGGUCCAACCCCUUGUGGGAGGGAGCUGUCUGAUAGGAGGAAGUUGGUUGAGAGAGG